rnacentral:rRNA from 1 species
UACGUAGGGGGCAAGCGUUGUCCGGAUUUAUUGGGCGUAAAGAGCGUGUAGGCGCCAGACAGGUCCGUUGUGAAAACUCGAGGCUCAACCUCGAGACGCCGAUGGAAACCGUCUGGCUAGAGUCCGGAAGAGGAGAGUGGAAUUCCUGGUGUAGCGGUGAAAUGCGCAGAUAUCAGGAAGAACACCCGUGGCAAGGCGGCUCUCUAGGACGGUACUGACGCUGAGACGCGAAACGUGGGGAGCGAACAG